AUUGAACGCUGGCGGCAUGCUUUACACAUGCAAGUCGAACGGCAGCGCGGGCUUCGGCCUGGCGGCGAGUGGCGAACGGGUGAGUAAUGCAUCGGAACGUGCCCAGUCGUGGGGGAUAGCCCGGCGAAAGCCGGAUUAAUACCGCAUACGACCUGAGGGCGAAAGGGGGGGACCGAAAGGCCUCGCGCGAUUGGAGCGGCCGAUGUCGGAUUAGCUAGUUGGUGGGGUAAAGGCUUACCAAGGCGGCGAUCCGUAGCUGGUCUGAGAGGACGACCCGCCACACUGGGACUGAGACACGGCCCAGACUCCUACGGGAGGCAGCAGUGGGGAAUUUUGGACAAUGGGCGCAACCCUGAUCCAGCCAUGCCGCGUGCGGGAAGAAGGCCUUCGGGUUGUAAACCGCUUUUGCUCGGGAAGAAAUACUCUGGGCUAAUACCCCGGGGGGAUGACGGUACCGGAAGAAUAAGCACCGGCUAACUACGUG
rnacentral:rRNA from 1 species